rnacentral:rRNA from 1 species
GUAACCUGCCCCUGACUUCGGGAUAAGCCCGGGAAACUGGGUCUAAUACCGGAUAUGUCCAUGACUUGCAUGAGUGAUGGUGGAAAGUUUUUUCGGUUGGGGAUGUCCUCGCGGCCUAUCAGUUUUUGGUGAGGUAAUGGCUCACCAAGACGACGACGGGUAGCCGGCCUCAGAGGGCGACCGGCCACACUGGGACUGAGACACGGCCCAGACUCCUACGGGAGGCAGCAGUGGGGAAUAUUGCACAAUGGGGGAAACCCUGAUGCAGCGACGCAGCGUGCGGGAUGACGGCCUUCGGGUUGUAAACCGCUUUCAGCAGGGAAGAAGCCUUUAUCGGUGACGGUACCUGCAGAAGAAGUACCGGCUAACUACGUGCCAGCAGCCGCGGUAAUACGUAGGGUACAAGCGUUGUCCGGAAUUAUUGGGCGUAAAGAGCUCGUAGGUGGUUGGUCACGUCUGCUGUGGAAACGCAACGCUUAACGUUGCGCGUGCAGUGGGUACGGGCUGACUAGAGUGCAGUAGGGGAGUCUGGAAUUCCUGGUGUAGCGGUGAAAUGCGCAGAUAUCAGGAGGAACACCCGGUGGCGAAAGGCGGGACUCUGGGCUGUAACUGACACUGAGGAGCGAAAGCAUGGGGAGCGAAAGGGAUUAGAUACCCCUG